rnacentral:rRNA from 1 species
GACGAACGCUGGCGGCGUGCCUAAUACAUGCAAGUAGAACGCACAGUUUAUACCGUAGCUUGCGACACCAUAGACUGUGAGUUGCGAACGGGUGAGUAACGCGUAGGUAACCUGCCUGGUAGCGGGGGAUAACUAUUGGAAACGAUAGCUAAUACCGCAUAAUAUUAAUUAUUUCAUGAUAAUUGAUUGAAAGAUGCAACUGCAUCACUACCAGAUGGCACUGCGUUGUAUUAGCUAGUAGGUGAGGUAACGGCUCACCUAGGCGACGAUACGUAGCCGGCCUGAGAGGGUGAGCUGCCACACUGGAACUGGGACACGACCCAGACACCUACAGGAGGCAGCAGUAGGGAACCUUCGGCAAUGGACGAAAGUCUGACCGAGCAACGCCGCGUGAGUGAAGAAGGUUUUCGGUUCGUAAAGCUCUAUUGUGAGAAAAAAUCGUGUGUGAGAGUGGAAAGUUCACACUGUGACGGUAUCUGACCAGAAAGGGACGGCUAACUACGUG